rnacentral:lncRNA from 1 species
GUCAGCUUAUAUUCGAGUAUAUAUGGCAGAUGGUUAGAGCUGGAGCCAGCAGAAAUUUUAAUGGCUCCCGCUCCACUGAAUAUGAUCAGCUUAGUUCCGACUCCAACUCCUCCAAAACUUCCUGGCUCCGGGCUCCGACUUCAGCUCCAGCUCCCCAGCCCUGUUGCUAACCUGUUUUCCGACUUUGGCUUGAUCUCAAAAAAUGUCUGUCAUAUUCAUAGACCCUCUUUGCUAAUGCAGUUGUUAAUCUGGUUGCCUGUAUAUUGUUUUUAUGUUCCUUAAGCCUAACUGCUAAAUUAAGAGCCUAACUGUUAGGCUCUUAAUUUUACUGCCUAUAUAUUUUUGAUGAUGUUGAAGGGUGGUGUUAUAUAUUGGUAUAGUGUAUACCCAGAACAUUUGUGGCUGGGUUAGGGAUUUGAUAUUCUUUACCAUGUGGUAUUGGGUCUAUUAUAUGAUGAUGUGAG